rnacentral:rRNA from 1 species
CCUACGGGUGGCAGCAGUGGGGGAUAUUGCACAAUGGGGGGAACCCUGAUGCAGCGACGCCGCGUGGGUGAAGGAGUAUUUCGGUAUGUAAAGCCCUAUCGGCAGGGAAGAAGCAAGACGGUACCUGACUAAGAAGCCCCGGCUAACUACGUGCCAGCAGCCGCGGUAAUACGUAGGGGGCGAGCGUUAUCCGGAUUCACUGGGUGUAAAGGGAGCGUAGACGGCCAUGCAAGCCAGGGGUGAAAGCCCGGGGCCCAACCCCGGGACUGCCCUUGGAACUGCAUGGCUGGAGUGCGGGAGGGGCAGGCGGAAUGCCUGGUGGAGCGGUGAAAUGCGUAGAUAUCAGGAGGAACACCGGCGGCGAAGGCGGCCUGCUGGACCGCGACUGACGUGGAGGCUCGAAAGCGUGGGGAGCGAACAGGAUUAGAUACCCCAGUAGUC